GACGAACGCUGGCGGCGUGCUUAACACAUGCAAGUCGAACGGAAAGGCCCUGCUUUUGUGGGGUGCUCGAGUGGCGAACGGGUGAGUAACACGUGAGUAACCUGCCCUUGACUUUGGGAUAACUUCAGGAAACUGGGGCUAAUACCGGAUAGGAGCUCCUGCUGCAUGGUGGGGGUUGGAAAGUUUCGGCGGUUGGGGAUGGACUCGCGGCUUAUCCGCUUGUUGGUGGGGUAGUGGCUUACCAAGGCUUUGAAGGGUAGCCGGCCUGAGAGGGUGACCGGCCACAUUGGGACUGAGAUACGGCACAGACUCCUACGGGAGGCAGCAGUGGGGAAGAUUGCACAAUGGGCUGAAGCCUAAUGCAGCAACGCCGUGUGCGGGAUGACGGCCUUCGGGUUGUAAACCGCUUUCGCCUGUGACGAAGCGUGAGUGACGGUAAUGGGUAAAGAAGCACCGGCUAACUACGUG
rnacentral:rRNA from 1 species